CCCGACUGCUAUCAGAGUAGGACUAAGCCAUGCGAGUCAACGUAUGAAUAAUACGUGGCGAACGGCUCAGUAACACGUAGUCAAUAUGCCCAAAGGACGUGGAUAACCUCGGGAAACUGAGGAUAAACCACGAUAGGUCAUAAUUACUGGAAUGUAUUAUGGCUCAAAUCUAUAUGGCCUCUGGAUUGGACUGCGGCCGAUCAGGCUGUUGGUGAGGUAAUGGCCCACCAAACCUGUAACCGGUACGGGCUCUGAGAGGAGGAGCCCGGAGAUGGGCACUGAGACAAGGGCCCAGGCCCUAUGGGGCGCAGCAGGCGCGAAACCUCUGCAAUGGGCGAAAGCCUGACAGGGUUACUCUGAGUGAUUUCCGCUAAGGGAAUCUUUUGGCACCUCUAAAAAUGGUGCAGAAUAAGGGGUGGGCAAGUCUGGUGUCAGCCGCCGCGGUAAUACCAGCACCCCGAGUGGUCGGGACGAUUAUUGGGCCUAAAGCAUCCGUAGCCGGUCUUGCAAGUCUUCCGUUAAAUCCACCUGCUUAACAGAUGGGCUGCGGAGGAUACUAUAAGGCUAGGAGGCGGGAGAGGCAAGCGGUACUCAGUGGGUAGGGGUAAAAUCCUCUGAUCCAUUGAAGACCACCAGUGGCGAAGGCGGCUUGCCAGAACGCGCUCGACGGUGAGGGAUGAAAGCUGGGGGAGCAAACCGGAUUAGAUACCCGGGUAGUCCCAGCUGUAAACGAUGCAGACUCGGUGAUGGGCCGGCUUUAUGCCGGCUCAGUGCCGCAGGGAAGCCGUUAAGUCUGCCGCCUGGGGAGUACGGUCGCAAGACUGAAACUUAAAGGAAUUGGCGGGGGAGC
rnacentral:rRNA from 2 species